rnacentral:rRNA from 1 species
UGGCUCAGAGUGAACGCUGGCGGCAGGCCUAACACAUGCAAGUCGAACGGCAGCACAGAGGAGCUUGCUCCUUGGGUGGCGAGUGGCGGACGGGUGAGGAAUGCAUCGGAAUCUGCCUAUUUGUGGGGGAUAACGUAGGGAAACUUACGCUAAUACCGCAUACGUCCUACGGGAGAAAGUGGGGGACCUUCGGGCCUCACGCAGAUAGAUGAGCCGAUGCCGGAUUAGCUAGUUGGCGGGGUAAAGGCCCACCAAGGCGACGAUCCGUAGCUGGUCUGAGAGGAUGAUCAGCCACACUGGAACUGAGACACGGUCCAGACUCCUACGGGAGGCAGCAGUGGGGAAUAUUGGACAAUGGGCGCAAGCCUGAUCCAGCCAUGCCGCGUGUGUGAAGAAGGCCUUCGGGUUGUAAAGCACUUUUGUCCGGAAAGAAAAGCAUUCGGUUAAUAACCGGGUGUCAUGACGGUACCGGAAGAAUAAGCACCGGCUAACUUCGUGCCAGCAGCCGCGGUAAUACGAAGGGUGCAAGCGUUACUCGGAAUUACUGGGCGUAAAGCGUGCGUAGGUGGUUUGUUAAGUCUGAUGUGAAAGCCCUGGGCUCAACCUGGGAACUGCAUUGGAACUGGCUUACUAGAGUGCGGUAGAGGGGGUGUGGAAUUCCCGGUGUAGCAGUGAAAUGCGUAGAUAUCGGGAGGAACAUCUGUGGCGAAGCGACACCCUGGACCAGCACUGACACUGAGCACGAAAGCGUGGGGAGCAACAGAUAGAUACCCUGGUAGUCACGCCU